CUAAGCGGUGGAUCACUCGGCUCAUGGGUCGAUGAAGAACGCAGCAAACUGUGCGUCAUCGUGUGAACUGCAGGACACAUGAACAUCGACAUUUUGAACGCAUAUCGCAGUCCAUGCU
rnacentral:rRNA from 1 species